GUGCUUCGACAGCACAGAUACUAACAUUGGAAUGGUACAGAGAAGAUCAGCAUGGCCCCUGAGCAAGGAUGACAUGCAAUUCGUGAAGCAUUCUAUAUUUUU